CGUGCGUAGACGUCAGCGCAAUGCCUUUGUUUGGCGGCAUGCGGAUGACAUUCACGUCCGUA
rnacentral:pre_miRNA from 1 species